GUAAAAUUUUAAUUUUGUGACUUGUCACAUUUUCAAAAUACAACGCUCAAUUAUGCUAUUAUGUUUUUUUUUGGUGCUACCCAUUUAUUUUUUCUGAAACUUAUGUUUUUCUUAGUGUUCAUUCUUAGUCAUCAUUGAAGUACAACUUGGUAAACUACAAAACACAUCAAACUCAGUUAUAUAAAUUUGAGUUACAAAGGUAUGCUAAUUAUUGUAUUGCCUGAGAGAGUGUCAUUGCUAUUAAAAGCAGUGAAGAAUUCAAGUACUUUGGAAGAAAAGAAAAUACGUAAAUAAAUGGUCAAUUAUUUGGCACAAAUUGGAGUUAAAGACAAAGGAGAUUGUAUAUUUUAUUUGCUAAGAAAAGUUUUUUAAAAUGGCCUAGUUGUAAAAUUAAACUAUGCAGGGAGAGGACAAAAAAUUGGAAUAGAAAAAAUGUUGAUUGCAUAUGCUGCUAUUGAAACUGUGAAGUCAAAUAAGCAUGGUUUAUGCAGACAUGUGAUAGAGAUAGUGGAAGAAAAAAUAAUAAUCGUGGGCACCAAAUAUCAUAAGCUAAACACUAUUCAACAACAAGUAGCUCAGCCGAUAUCGAAACUACUCUAUAAAUUUUAUA